GGUCGCGUGGUGUAGUUGGUUAUCACGUUCGCCUAACAAAUUAGUUCCGCGAAAGGUCUCCAGUUCAAACCUGGACGUGAUCA